rnacentral:rRNA from 1 species
UACGUAGGGUGCAAGCGUUGUCCGGAAUUAUUGGGCGUAAAGAGCUCGUAGGCGGUUUGUCGCGUCGGCUGUGAAAACCUGGGGCUCAACCCCGGGCCUGCAGCCGAUACGGGCAAACUAGAAUUCGGUAGGGGAGACUGGAAUUCCUGGUGUAGCGGUGAAAUGCGCAGAUAUCAGGAGGAACACCGGUGGCGAAGGCGGGUCUCUGGGCCAUAACUGACGCUGAGGAGCGAAAGCAUGGGGAGCGAACAGG